rnacentral:tRNA from 1 species
GGUGCCAUCGUCUAGUGGCAGGACAGUACGUUGUGGUUUGAGAGCCCCCGCGCUUCAGACGAUAUCCGUGCAAACGGCGGUUCGAUCCCGUCUGGCGCCA